rnacentral:rRNA from 1 species
UCCUGGCUCAGGAUGAACGCUGGCGGCGUGCUUAACACAUGCAAGUCGAACGAGAAAGCUCCUUCGGGAGUGAGUACAGUGGCGAACGGGUGCGUAACACGUUGGUGACCUGCCUUGAGGAGGGGGACAACCGUGGGAAACCACGGCUAAUACCCCGGAUGUCUAGACUGUUAGAGGGUUUAGACUAAAACUUCGGUGCCUCAAGAGGGGCCUGCGGGCUAUCAGCUUGUUGGUGGGGUAAUGGCCUACCAAGGCUAAGACGGCUAGGGGGCGUGAGAGCGCGACCCCCCACAAUGGAACUGAGACACGGUCCAUACUCCUACGGGAGGCAGCAGUGAGGAAUAUUGCGCAAUGGGGGAAACCCUGACGCAGCAACGCCGCGUGAACGAUGAAGGCCUUCGGGUCGUAAAGUUCUUUUCUAAGGGAAGAUAGUGACGGUACCUUAGGAAUAAGUCCCGGCUAACUACGUGCCAGCAGCCGCGGUAAAACGUAGGGGGCGAGCGUUAUCCGGAUUUAUUGGGCGUAAAGCGCACGUAGGUGGCGCUGUAAGUUAGACGUGAAAGCUCUCGGCUCAACUGAGAGAGGUCGUUUAAAACUGCAGUGCUUGAGGUUAGAAGAGGAGAGCAGAAUUCCCGGUGUAGUGGUGGAAUGCGUAGAUAUCGGGAGGAAUACCAGUGGCGAAGGCGGCUCUCUAGUCUACACCUGACACUGAGGUGCGAAAGCGUGGGUAGCGAACGGGAUUAGAUACCCCGGUAGUCCACGCUGUAAACGAUGGAUACUAGGUGUAGGGGGUCAUUUAACCCCUCUGUGCCGAAGCAAAACGCGUUAAGUAUCCCGNC